rnacentral:rRNA from 1 species
UUGGAGGGCAAGUCUGGUGCCAGCAGCCGCGGUAAUUCCAGCUCCAAUAGCGUAUAUUAAAGUUGUUGCAGUUAAAAAGCUCGUAGUUGAAUUUCGGGAUCAAUGUUUCGGUCAUGCCGUUGGUAUGUACUGAUAUUAUUGGUUUCUCACCUUCUAAAGAACCGUAAUGCCAUUAAUUUGGUGUCACGGGGAAUUAGGACUGUUACCUUGAAAAAAUUAGAGUGUUUAAAGCAGGCUCACGCUUGAAUACAUUAGCAUGGAAUAAUGAAAUAGGACAUCCGAUUCUAUUUUGUUGGUUUCUAGGAUCGAUGUAAUGAUUAAUAGGGAUAGUUGGGGGCAUUAGUAUUCAAUUGUCAGAGGUGAAAUUCCUGGAUUUAUUGAAGACUAACUACUGCGAAAGCAUUUGCCAAGGAUGUUUUCAUUAAUCAAGAACGAAAGUUAGGGGAUCGAAGACGAUCAGAUACCGUCGUAGUCUUAACCAUAAACUAUGCCGACUAGGGAUCGGAUGAUGUUAAUUUUUUAAUGACUCAUUCGGCACCUUACGGGAAACCAAAG